CUCAAGGUUUGGCAGGGCUGACGUGAGGGGAAGGCCAGGAGAGCGCUGGAGCAGCGAGAGCAGCUGGGUGAGCCCAGCACAGGACAAGGGCCUGUCCCCAAGACCCAGACUGACACUUGGUUCGAGCCACAGGAAAGCAGAGACAGAGGGUCCACCCCAGAGCAUCAAAUACAACAAAUAACAUCAAUCAGAGCAUCCUCAGCUCAGUUCUGCUCCAUCUCCCUCAGCUGUUCCACAGGCCAAG
rnacentral:lncRNA from 12 species